GUUACGAGUUGUCUGAUAUGAGGAAAGGGACGGUUUCCCCGUCAAGUGAACCGUCCAUCUUUGCUCUUUUUUUGCCAACCAGUUUACGUGCGGGAUUCCAGAAUCAAAACGAUAACAUUCAACGUGUCUAUUAAUAUGGCAGCAACAUUUUACACCGUUUUAGAAUAUUCACUACAACUAUGCUGACUUUACAUGCUUAUGUAAAGUCAGCAUAGUACCAUAUUCAGCUAUCGACAGUUCUGCGUUGUGCGUCAUAGCCUACACCAGCCUACGCAGACAAUGUUCUAAAUAAAAUGAAAUGAUAAUAUGAUAAAUAUCAUAAAAAGGGUGGAUGUCAAUAAUGUAAUGAAAAAUCAUGUUGUAUGAUAAAAUUAUGCCAUUUUUUUUUCAAUAUUUAUCAAUUAAAACAUAGGGGGUAACACUGUCGUUUUUAUCAAAAGAAAAAUAAUGUCAUGUAUAUCCUCUUUAUUGAUGAUUGAUUAUUGUGUAUUGUCAUCGCCUCAGUGGUUCAGUGGAGUGCACUCUGCCUAACCCACUGGAGACCGCGGCUCAAUUUCUGUGGAAAACACAAUAUCUUUAAUUUUAAACGUAAUGCUCUCAUGUCUAUAACAUAUAUAUACAUCUAUAUGUCUAUCAUAUAUAACCACAGACAUAUUUGAAUUGCAAAUCUCAGUGGGAAGUGGAGAGAGCUGUGAGCUAACCCGCUGGAGACCGGGGUUCAAGUCUGGUUGAUGUCCUCUGUUGGAAGACUCUUAUCUCUAAUUCAUGCGAUAUAAAAGUCAACUCUAACCAUUGUGUUGACUUUUUCGGUGUCUCGAUGGUGCAUUGAUACGUUCGGAGGUUAACACUCUAAACAGCUCAGGUUCGGAUCCCAGCAAAAAUGUCGAGAGGGGUACCACUGUUGUUUUUUAUUGGUCAACAUGGAAAAAACAUGAGGGGUAACUCUGUCGUUUUUUAUCGGCCGUCAUGAAAUAAACAUAAGGGGUAACACUGUCGAUAUUUAUCAAAUAAAACAUAGGGGGUAACACUGUUGUUUUUCUUUGGUCGUCAUGAAAAAAAACACAAGGGGUAACACUGUUGUUUUUUAUUGGUCGUCAUGAAAAAAAACAUAAGGGGUAACACUGUUGUUUUUUAUUGGUCGUCAUGAAAAAAAACAUAAGGGGUAACACUGUCGUUUUUUAUUGGUCGUCAUGAAAAAAAACAUAAGGGG
ensembl:lncRNA